rnacentral:rRNA from 1 species
UACGUAGGGUCGCAGCGUUGUCCGGAAUUAUUGGGCGUAAAGGAGCUCGUGAGGCGGUCUGUUGCGUCGGGAGUGAAAACUUACAGCUUAACUGUGAGCGUGCUUUCGAUACGGGCAGACUUGAGGCAUUCAGGGGAGAACGGAAUUCCAGGUGUAGCGGUGAAAUGCGUAGAUAUCUGGAGGAACACCGGUGGCGAAGGCGGCAUCCUGGACCGAAAUUGACGCUGAGGCGCGAAAGCCAGGGGAGCAAACGGG